rnacentral:rRNA from 1 species
UACGUAGGGUGCAAGCGUUGUCCGGAAUUAUUGGGCGUAAAGAGCUCGUAGGCGGUCUGUCGCGUCGGCUGUGAAAACUCGGGGCUCAACCCCGAGCCUGCAGUCGAUACGGGCAGACUAGAGUGCGGUAGGGGAGACUGGAAUUCCUGGUGUAGCGGUGAAAUGCGCAGAUAUCAGGAGGAACACCGGCGGCGAAGGCGGGUCUCUGGGCCGUAACUGACGCUGAGGAGCGAAAGCGUGGGGGAGCGAACAGGG